rnacentral:rRNA from 1 species
CGGACUCUCGUGUUGUGAAAUGUUGGGUAUAGUCCCGCAACGAGCGCAACCCUUAUCCUUGUUUGCCAGCGAGUAAUGUCGGGAACUCCAGGGAGAGUCCCGGUGAUAAACCGGAGGAAGGUGGGGACGACGUCAAGUCAUCAUGGCCCUUACGAGUAGGGCUACACACGUGCUACAAUGGCGCAUACAGAGGGGUCCCAACUUGCGAAAGUGAGCGAAUCCCAAAGGGUGCGUCGUAGUCCGGAUUGGAGUCUGCAACUCGACUCCAUGAAGUCGGAAUCGCUAGUAAUCGUGGAUCAGAAUGCCACGGUGAAUACGUUCCCGGGCCUUGUACACACCGCCCGUCACACCAUGGGAGUGGGCUGCCAAAGAAGUAGGUAGUUUAACCUUCCCGGGGACGCUUACCAGU